GGCGAAAUGGCCGAGUGGUCUAAGGCGUCAGACUCAAGUUGUCCUAAAACUUAUACACAUUAUGUGUAAGACCCAAGGGUUUUCUGAUCUCGUUAUCGAGGCGUGGGUUCGAAUCCCACUUUCGUCA
rnacentral:tRNA from 1 species